rnacentral:rRNA from 1 species
UCGCCUUGUUUUACAAAAACAUGGCUUUUUGUAUAUAAUUUAAAGUCUGGCCUGCCCACUGAAGUUUUAAAGGGCCGCGGUAACUUGACCGUGCUAAGGUAGCAUAAUCAUUAGUUUUUUAAUUGAAAGCUGGUAUGAAUGGUUUGAUGAAAAAAUAACUGUCUCUGAUUUAUUUUAAUUGAAUUUUAUAUUUAAGUAAAAAAGCUUAAAUUUUUUUAAAAGACGAGAAGACCCUAUAGAGUUUUAUAAAUUAAAAUUUUAGUACUUUUAGGAUUUUUACUUUUAAAAUUUGAAUUUAUUUGAUUGGGGUGAUUGAAAAAUUUAGUAAACUUUUUUUUUAUUAGAAUAUUAAUUAGUAAGUUUUUGAUCCAUUAAUAAUGAUUAUAAGAUUAAAUUACCUUAGGGAUAACAGCGUAAUUUUUUUUGAGAGUUCAAAUCGAAAAAAAAGAUUGCGACCUCGAUGUUGGAUUAAAAUUAAUUUUUGGUGUAGAGGCUAAGAAUUUUAGGUCUGUUCGACCUUUAAAAUUUUACGUGAUCUGAGUUCCAGACCGGA